AGAGACUGUAAAAAACCAAGAACUCACACUCGGCGAGCAACAGAUUGAAAGAGCUCUAGGAGUUCAGUGGUGUGUUGCCUCAGACCAUUUCCAGUUUCGAGUGGUUGUGAAUGAGCAUCCACUAUCCAGAAGAGGUUUGUUGUCGACCGUAGCCUCUAUCUACGACCCACUUGGCUUCGUGGCGCCUUUUGUCCUACUUGGCAAGCAAAUACUACAAGAAAUGUGUCGUGAUAAGAAGGGCUGGGACGAACCACUCUCAAGUGAACUCAAGCCACGGUGGGAGUCUUGGCUGUCAAAUCUUAAAGACCUUGCCGAUGUCAAGAUCAACCGUUGUUACCUUCCAAAAGAUUUUCAAGCAGUUCAGAAACUUCAACUCCACCAUUUCUCAGAUGCAAGUGUUGCAGGUUAUGGAGUUUGUACCUAUUUAAGAGCCAUCAGUGAAUCAGGACAAAUUCAUUGCUCACUUGUGUUUGCUAAGUCCAGAGUAGCACCCACCAAGGUAACUACAGUACCAAGGUUAGAGCUGUCUGCAGCAGUUGUCGCAGUACGCAUAAGUGACAUGCUCAAAGCAGAAUUGGAGAUGGAAAAUGUUGAAGACUUCUUUUGGACGGAUUCGCAAGUUGUUUUGGGAUAUAUUGAUAAUGAAGCAAGACGUUUUCACGUUUUCGUGGCAAACCGCAUCCAGCGUAUUAAAGAGAGUACUAAAUCAACACAGUGGAAGUAUGUUACAUCAGAGGACAAUCCCGCUGAUCAUGCGUCUCGAGGACUAACAGCUAAAAACCUCAUUGCUUCCAACUGGUUUGGUGGACCAAGUUUUCUCUGGAAAGAAGAGCUUCCCAGCAGAGAUAUUAAGGUGAGAGAACUUGAUGCAGUGGACCCAGAGGUACGCAAAUCUGUUGUACACCACACGUUAACAAAGGUGGAUUCUCUGGUAGAACGUUUUAGGAAAUUCUCCAGCUGGUCAAGGCUAGUCAAAGCAAUCGCCAGGCUCAUCAGACUUGUAAACGAGUUUAAGAACGCACAAAGGAGAAACAAUGAAGCCACAAGUCUCGAUGAAAGACAAGAAGCUGAGCUUACAAUCGUAGCUAUUGUGCAAAGAUCAGUCUUCUCCAAAGAAAUCAAAGAGCUUCAGUGUAAAGGGGAGUUGGCUAAAAAUAAGACAAGUAAGCUCUAUCGACUCAAUCCCUUCCUAGACCAUAAGGGCAUCCUCAGAGUAGGAGGUAGGUUAGAGCGAGCUACGUUACAUCCAUACGUCAAACACCCAGCUAUUUUACCAAAGACCAGCCACAUCACAGGGUUACUGAUUGAUCAUUUUCAUCAGCAAGUGCAACAUCAAGGGCGUGGCAUGACAAUUAACGAAUUAAGAGCAAACGGCAUUUGGAUACUUGGAUGUAGUCAAGCAGUGUCAUCCUUUAUCUAUAACUGUGUCAAAUGCAGGAAAUUCAGACGUGGAACAGAAGAG
rnacentral:lncRNA from 1 species